rnacentral:rRNA from 1 species
GACAGAGGUGCCAAGCGUUAGGCGGAAUCACUGGGCUUAAAGCGUGUGUAGGUGGAUGCCUAAGUACCUUGUGAAAUCCCACGGCUCACCCGUGGAACUGCUUGGUAUACUGGGUGUCUUGAGCCACUUAGGGGUCGCUGGAACAAACGGUGGAGCGGUGAAAUGCGUAGAUAAUCGUUUGGAACGCCAAUGGUGAAACAGGCGAACUGGAGUGUGCUGACACUGAGACACGAAAGCCAGGGAGCGAACGG